rnacentral:rRNA from 1 species
UACGAGGGGGGCAAAUGUUGUUCGGAAUCACUGGGCGUAAAGGGAGCGUAGGCGGGUUCUUAAGUUAGGUGUUUAAUCCCGGGGCCCAACCCCGGACCGGCACUUAAAACUGGGAAUCUUGAAUAGUGGAGAGGUCGGUGGAAUUGGAGGUGUAGCGGUGGAAUGCGUAGAGAUCUCCAAGAACACCAGUUGCGAAGGCGGCCGACUGGACACAUAUUGACGCUGAGGCUCGGAAGCAUGGGGAGCAAACAGG